rnacentral:lncRNA from 1 species
UGUAGCGAAUCCUGUGUGUUGCGUCCUUGUUUGCAGUGGAUCGAAACCGCCGAAGCUCAAGGCCAUGCCACUGUCUUCGUUGCCAAAUUCUUUGGCCGUGCUGACCUCAUGUCCUUCGUUUCCAACGUUCCAGAAAAUCAAAGACCUGGUAAAUUUUAUUUUAAUUUCUUUUAACUCUUUCUACAGUUUUCUUCGCCCUACCUUAUACUUCUUUCCGUGUUGCCUAUGCAGCUCUGUUUCAGUCCCUGCUGUUCGAAGCCUGCGGGAGAACGGUCAACCCUGUCAACGGUGCUGUGGGCCUUCUCUGGACCGGAAACUGGCACGUCUGCCAGGCGGCCGUGGAGACCGUACUCCGCGGCGGCACGCUCAGGACCAUGCCGGAGCUCAUGGACCUG